UACGUAGGGGGCUAGCGUUGUCCGGAAUCAUUGGGCGUAAAGAGCGUGUAGGCGGCCCGGUAAGUCCGCUGUGAAAGUCGGGGGCUCAACCCUCGAAUGCCGGUGGAUACUGUCGGGCUAGAGUGCGGAAGAGGCGAGUGGAAUUCCGUGUGUAGGCGUGAAAUGCGCAGAGUAUCAGGAGGAACACCGGUGGCGAAGGCGGAUCUCUGGGCCUUACCUGACGCUGAGGCGCGAAAGCUAGGGGAGCAAAACAGG
rnacentral:rRNA from 1 species